GACAGAAUCUCAUGAUGUAGUUCAGACUCACUGUGUAUGCCAGGGUAGCCUCAAACUUGUGGGGUCCUCCUGUUUCAGCCCCCUGAGUGCUGGCGUUACAGAUGUGCAUCACAAUACCCAGCUCUUAUUUGAGUUUUUACAAGAAGCCUGUAUUCCUAUUCUCAUCUGUUAGUACGUAUUGAAAAGGAACCAAGUUUCCUUGGUGUUAAUAAAUCAUCCAUUUUGAAUAAAUUAUGCAAGAAACAUUAAUUUGCAUUGGUUCAAAAAAUAAGAAAUGAAGUAGAACAAAAGUCAAAUGUUUAAAAAGUAUGGUGAACAGUUUGAAGAAGAAGAAAGAGCAACUCUGAACUGGGCUCGUCAAAGCCAUCAAGUGCUUAUGGGGGGAUACCACUGUGGGGUGCCCAAAGUGAAAACCAAGACAGACUAGAGAAAAAGACCACAGCUUACCUAAUAAACCCCUUAACACAAAGCUAGAAACCAAGCCCAAAAUACUUCCUGGAAAGAAAUGAGAAAAGAUAUCCCCCCAUCAAAGAAUGGGGUGGGGCAAGAAAGGUGAAAUGACCCUGUUAAAACAAAUGUAGAUGCCAAACAGUCUGACCAGGCACUGGAGGUUGAAGGUGUUAGAGAUGUUACAUGAGUGGGAGGAAGCUGGGACAUCAAUACUAAUAAGAGAGGGCAAGAGAGUUAUGAUCUGGACACACUGUUCACCACUGUGUUUACUGAAGACUGGCAUUGGCUCUGGCCUUUUGGAAGUUGUGUGAAGCUGUUUUAAAUGAAUUAAUUAAAAUAAUAGUUAAUAUGACUGGAACCUUACUAGGAGGAGGAGAAAUGGAAAUUAGACCCAGUGAAGAGCACUGUUCUGAGAUACUGGAGUGUAACAUCAGCAGGGAGAGAUGCUAAAGUCCACUCUGCCUGAAGAGACUACUUCUCAGUCUUUUAGUCUGUGUUGGAUUUUAAAGGAUAAUUGAAUGCAAAAUGACAUCCAGGAGGUGACUGCUGUAUUUCUGAUAUGAUGCUGUUUGCUUGCUUUGGCUUCAGUGUGACCCCCAAGUUCAUGCAUUCCAAACGGAGUCCUCAGAGCAAUAGUGCUGAAAGGUG